rnacentral:rRNA from 1 species
GACGAACGCUGGCGGCGUGCUUAACACAUGCAAGUCGAACGGACAGGCCCUGCUUUUGUGGGGUGCUCGAGUGGCGAACGGGUGAGUAACACGUGAGUAACCUGCCCUUGACUUUGGGAUAACUUCAGGAAACUGGGGCUAAUACCGGAUAGGAGCUCCUGCUGCAUGGUGGGGGUUGGAAAGUUUCGGCGGUUGGGGAUGGACUCGCGGCUUAUCAGCUUGUUGGUGGGGUAGUGGCUUACCAAGGCUUUGACGGGUAGCCGGCCUGAGAGGGUGACCGGCCACAUUGGGACUGAGAUACGGCCCAGACUCCUACGGGAGGCAGCAGUGGGGAAUAUUGCACAAUGGGCGGAAGCCUGAUGCAGCAACGCCGCGUGCGGGAUGACGGCCUUCGGGUUGUAAACCGCUUUCGCCUGUGACGAAGCGGGAGUGACGGUAAUGGGUAAAGAAGCACCGGCUAACUACGUG